ensembl:lncRNA
GUCACCCGGGACCCGCAGCGGCUGUCCGAACACCAGCUCGGCCGACGACGACCGGAGGUCCUCCUUGGGCACUGUCCUGAGCCCCAGCAUGACCCACGGCAGUUUGUCGAGCCAGUUGCCGUCCGUGAGGCUGGCUCGAAGGGCGGCCUUCAUGGAGCGAUGAAAGCGCUCAACAAGUCCGUUAGCCUGCGGGUGGUAGGCGGUAGUGCGGUGGAGCUUGACCCCCAGAUUCUCCGCCACUGCCGCCCACAGCCCCGGAGUAAACUGCGGGCCACGGUCAGAGGAGAGGUCAGCAGGAGUGCCGUAGCGGGAGACACACACCGCGAUGAACGCCCGGGCCAGGUCGGGGGCUGUCGUUGAGGAGAGCGGGACUGCCUCCGGCCAGCGCGUCGUCCUGUCCACCAUGGUGAAGAGGCGCUCCGAAGCUGAGAUGGAGCGCCUGUAGUUGGUGUCCAACCGAGAGAUCCUAGCACCGAUCCUAGCUAGCAGGUCAUCAAACUGGGCCGGAGUCAGCCUCAAAUAGCGCUGGAAGCGUUCGCCAUCCAGACGGAGCUCCUGCAGAAGACGGUGAAAUUCACCGAGCUCUGUACGGCUCCGAAUGGUCUCAUGAACCCAUAAACGACGACGAGCAUUCUGACGUCUCUCCCUCUUCCACAACAGCUGCUAAUAUAAGCAAAGAUAUGCUGCCAAGCCUCACAAAGGAGGACUUGCGUGACCUUUUUCCGGGUCCAGAACACUUCCUGAGAAGGAGAACCAUUUGGAGACUCAGUCAUGAUGAAAAUGAGGGUCAAGAAUCAGAGCUGCAUAGACCAGGAAGCAGUGAAUUCAGCCCCACCCACCCACCUCCUCUUCCCCAACAUCCAUUUCCUUCCUCUUUGUCUUCCUCCAACCCUCUCCCCUCUCCAUCCCCCCAUUUCUUCUCCAUCCUCCCUCCCCUCUCCAAGCCCAAGACCCCAACAUGGCAGAACGGUACAACUUGUCAGCCCAACGUAUGUCAUAUACACAGACACAGAAUUAGAGCUUGCAAGGAGUGCCUUCUUUGACCAACAGCGUGCUGGAAAAGAGGGAGACUUUAGCCUGUCCAAAGAUCUUCGUUGCAGAUUAAUAAGAAAUACCAUCACGAGCAUGAUUGCAAUCAAAAGAGCAACAGAGGAUGAUUUUAAAUAUCCAUGCAACCGGGAGCUCACAUUUAUGGCAAAGCGCCUCGUGGACUACUACCCAAUGCUUCGGGACCAAUCUGCCAAGACUGGGGCUGAGUGGGAAUAUCUGAAGAAACAGCUCCUAAAAAGAGUCCAAAAUGUUUCAACUCCUAAAAAGCAGCAGGGAGCAACUCCUUCGCGAAAGAAGGCACGGAGACUUAGCUUUCAGUCCAGACAGGAGACGUCCGCUGAUGAGACUGAUGACUCCACCACCUCUACUGUGAUCUUGGAGAGAACACCACCACGCUGUAGCACUCCACAGAUUGAACAAUCGUAUCAUUAGACACUUCGGACAGCCUGCAGUAUCAGGCAAGACAUUAUAAAACUCUGCAGGACAUGUAUAAAACCAAGGCCAGGCCAAACAAGAAGGAUGUUGCCCAGCUCCUAGACCUUGAAUUCCAGUCAAGACGCGCCUUCAUUGACUCCGAUGUGACUAAGGAGCAGGACAGGCCUGUCAAGAUCCUUGAGGCGUAUCCCUGCUUUGGAGAAUUGGACAAUCUAAUGGAUGAACUCCGGCGGAUCCUCGAUCAAGGGAACCCCCACUUCCUACCUGAACUAAAUACCCGGCGGGCAACCUUUUUUGAGAGGGCACAGUUUUAUGGCGUUUUCAAGAAGGUCAUGAGGCCUCCACUGUUGGACAAAGCACAGCAGUCAAUCGCCCUGAUGAAGGCAUUGCCAGACUUAUUUCCAUCACCUGUGGCUCCACCCAAGAAGUUGGGACAUGCAAGUGAGGCUUUGCUUCACAUCCUUAAGCCUACAGAAGACCCCAACACCAUUCUACGAGCAAGACCACUCUCCAGCCCGGUCGUUGUUGUCAGUGAAACUAACUGCAUACUAUCUAUUGGAACCACGCCUGUGUUGACUUUCCCAAAAGAGGAUAUCGAUGCUAGCGUAAUGUAUCUCAUGGCAUGCUAUUACAUCUUUCCCUUACAUAUCCCAAGUGCGUUGCCACACUCAUGUCUGUGCUGCAGACCGAGGUUCUCCUGGAUGCCAUCCACGACCAGGACAUGACUUCCUCAUAUAGGAAGGCUAUAGGCGAGUGGAAGAAAUUCUUAGCUUAAAGUGGAAAUGAGAGUGGAUAAUCUUGUUUUGGUUUGUUUUGAGGCUGUGUUUUUUUUUUCACUUUUUAGUUUGCUGUUAAGUUCAGCUGCAUGACCUUCCCAAAAGAGGAUAUUGAUGUUAGCACAAUGUAAAAUGGCAUGCAUUAUCUUUCACCUUAGAUAUCCUAAGUGUGCACACUUCUGUCUGCGCAAGUUCUGUUGGAUACUAUCCACUAGAAUAAAUAAUUCUUAAAUUGUUCUCAUUAUCUAGGCGAAUAUACUUGAUUGCAGUGUAUGUUGCCUAACAUAAGUCCUUGUUUGGAGCUGAUAAUACUAGCAUAUGUUGAAUAAAAGGUAUAUUUUCCUAUAUAUCAAGAAAACUAUUCUUAAAUUUGGUUUGCUUAUCUAGACAAAUGUACUUGUUUGAAGUUUGGCUGUACUGACUUUAAGAUAUAUUUACUUGCAUGAAACCUUAUUUGAAGAUGAUGGCACUAGCAUAUGCUGAUUUUAAGCACAUUGUCCUACAUAUUGAGAAAAUAAUUCUUAAAUAUUUUCCUUGAACCAAUACAAAUCUACUUGUUGUUAGUCUAAACACACUAGUUUUAAGAUAUCCCUGGGUUUUUAAGGCUAGAUAUAUUCACUUGUUUUUAAAAAUCUUGUUAAGUCAAAUCUUCCUGUUCUGUUGGCAGAUAAUUUUGCUUAUUUUAAGUAAUAUAUUCCUCAUUUUAUUACUUUUUUUUCUUAUUUUUUCGCUCCAAAAUAAGUAGGCUACAGGCAAUAGGCAGAGAUACGGACGCAGUAAGGUAUUGCAGUAAUACGGGUGAUUGAAAUUGACAUUUAAACCACCAAAGUGGUCCAAGCACAAUGAAAACAGUUCAUACUUCAAGUCACAAUGAUGAGAUGAGAUGAGAUGGCGAGUUCGAAUGGAUAUUAAAACGCAGCAUUAUGCCGCUUUUCCACUGCAUGGUACCAGCUCGACACGACUCGACUCGACUCGACUCAGCUCGCAUUUUUUGCGUUUCUACCGCGAAAACAUGGUAUCUGGUACCUGAAGUGGCUGCUUUUUCUAGUACCGCCUUGCUCUAGGUUCCAAGCGGCUGAGCCGAUGCUAAAAGGUGACGUCGGCAGACGGCCGGCCACUGAUUGGCCAGAGAGUGUGAUGAAGUCACGAGAGCGACAUGGCAACCAUGCUGGUAACAGCCAUAGCAGCGCCGCAGCCAACAUAUUCCACUUCUUCAACUUCUUCAACAUGCCAGCUAAUAAUAGUAAUGUUAUCGAUGUCCUCCAUUGUUGUUAUGUGGGUUAUCUCCAUGUGUGGGUUGCGUAGGUGUUGUUUGCGUCGCGUACAAAAAUACGUCACGGCCCUUUCGCGCAGCCGACCCCGCCCACGUCCAGGAGGUACUAUUUGCGGUGGAAAACGACCCGUGCUGCUGCCGUGUCGAGUCGUGUCGAGUCGAGUCGAGUCGAGCUACAUGUGCGGUGGAAAAGCGGCAUUAGUUUCUGCUGGUGAAGUCCCACCCACUGGCACUGCUCUAAUAGGUCUGUAGCGUCAGUGGGCCCCACCCCCUAUAGGGGGGUGGGACUAGUGCUUGUAGUCUCACGAGAAUCCUCCCUCUUACACUUCCUAUUUACUUCUACGCAAAAAUCGUCAUAUUGUGUCAUCUUAAACAGGAAGUGUUGGAGAUCGAUAUGGAUCUCUCCAGUCUCUCCAGAAAAUAAGGGAAUGAUGCACGACCAUUCAAAAAUAUGAGUGGGUUUCUGACGAUACAAAGCUCAAUGGAAAUGGGUGAAGUUUCCCUUUAAGCAGUGUGACACUUGGAGCUUGAAUGACGGAGCACAAGUUGGCACAAAGCACUCAAAACUGCAAAAAGACAUUGUUCAAUUGUAGACUUGGAGCUUGCAUAACGGAGCACCAGGCAUAGUUUAAUAGUGCAUUUCUUUUUUGAACAGCACAUCCGAUCAAUGACCUCUGUAAUUUUUGUACAUUUAAAUGUAUGCCCAUCACUAACUGAGUUUAGCUUUAUCUAUUAUUACUUUUAUUUCCUUCCCUUCUUUUCUUAAUGUUAUGUGUAUUUUGUUUUUAAGAUAAAUCAAGAGAAACCCAAACAUAUCUUAUGGUCUCGUAUGUAUGUAAAUGUUUCAUAUAUUUAUGUGUUUUUUUCAUGUUGUGACUGUCUGAGUUUGUGAUGUGAGUCUUUGUUCUAUGUUCCCACUCUUGGCCUGCACCUUGACGUGGUGAGUAGGCUUUAAACUAAGACUUUGUUUUAUUUGUUUGUUAUUGAUUGUUUGUCACAGUCUAUCUUAUUAAUGAUACAAAGCCUUAACUAAACCCCUUCUCUUCUGUUUGCAGAAACUGGAAACUUCAGAGUAUAUUUGAUCUUAAAUUAGAAAAUCUUUGUUUCCUCAUCAGAUCCCAGUCCAUCAUGCUCCUGUACUUGUCUGCCGUGCCACCAUCAUGCCUCAUGCAUCACCUCUCAGCGCCCUGCCCAGCUGCAUCUUAUUCCGUUACUCCAGCUCUUUCCAGCUCCUUCACAUAAGUGACAAACACGCUCCACCCAAGUGUUUUUAAUAUUUUAUUAAUUAUGCUUAAGGUGUGCUUAAGUGGCCUGAAAGGGGCCCAUCAAUAAAAUGCUUUUUAUUGAUGUAACAUUAUGGCUCCAUCAAAAGCAAAGUACACCUGCCAUUUAACUAUCAUUUAUACUAUCAUUUAUACUAUCCUAGACAUCUUUAAUCGUAUUUACAUAGGCCUACAGUAGGCCUGAUUUCCUCUGAAUGUUUAAAUAAAAAAGUUCCCUGUCCAUGUCAGAUCCCUGUCCAUCAUACUCCUGUUGUUGUCUUCCUGCACACCUGACUGCCUCCUCCAUCGAUUGCGGCCACAGCCCUCUCCCUGUACAAUAUUUCAUGUUAAAUACAUUUCAGGAUCAAGUUUGAGAUUCAGUUUCAGUAUUACUUGUUUUUGAAACCUGACGUGGGGCUGGCACCGCCACCAUCAUAUCAGUCUUAUUUAUAGCACCCACACAGGUGUGUGCCGUCCAUAUGGGCAGGUGGGGCGGCGAACUCCCUGCAUGCUCCCAAAAAAAUGUGUUCCUCAGUAAAUCAUUACUCCAAGUUGAUAAUGUGAUUGUCAGAUUAACUAUCUAUAGUUUCUGUAGGCUUUCCGACUAUUUUUGGUCUGUUGAUAUCAAAUUGAUGGGGGCGAUUCUAGUUGAGUUUAACGAGUCAUGCAAUGUGGGGCAGGGGAGCUCAACGACCGUGUCCCUCCGUAUGUUUCACGCAUAACCCGGCAGGCUGCAAUAAGAAUUGCAAUCCGCACUAUAAGACGCCCAUAUGGUCGUAAAGUAGUCUGCCCCAUGGUCAUAUUGUAGGACUGUUGUUUAAAAUCGAAUUACUAAGCCUGUAUCUUUCGGCAUUGAAGCCUAUUUAUUUAUUUAUUUCAGCAGGUAUUAAAAUUGCAUACCUGAUUUCAUACCUGAUUUAAACAGCUGUUAUUGAGAAAUAUCUGAUUUCAAAACUGUUGUUAUUGAGAGAUUUGCA